rnacentral:rRNA from 1 species
GUCGAGGGGAAACGACGGGGAAGCUUGCUUCCCCGGGCGUCGACCGGCGCACGGGUGAGUAACGCGUAUCCAACCUGCCUCUGACUGAGGGAUAACCCGUCGAAAGUCGGCCUAAUACCUCAUGGCAUCGUCUGCGGGCAUCCAACGACGAUUAAAGAUUUCAUCGGUCAGGGAUGGGGAUGCGUCUGAUUAGCUUGUUGGCGGGGUAACGGCCCACCAAGGCUACGAUCAGUAGGGGUUCUGAGAGGAAGGUCCCCCACAUUGGAACUGAGACACGGUCCAAACUCCUACGGGAGGCAGCAGUGAGGAAUAUUGGUCAAUGGGCGAGAGCCUGAACCAGCCAAGUAGCGUGCAGGAUGACGGCCCUAUGGGUUGUAAACUGCUUUUAUGCGGGGAUAAAGUGAGGGACGUGUCCUUCAUUGCAGGUACCGCAUGAAUAAGGACCGGCUAAUUCCGUGCCAGCAGCCGCGGUAAUACGGAAGGUCCGGGCGUUAUCCGGAUUUAUUGGGUUUAAAGGGAGCGUAGGCCGUGGAUUAAGCGUGUUGUGAAAUGCAGGUGCUCAACGUCUGCACUGCAGCGCGAACUGGUCCACUUGAGUGUGCGCAACGCAGGCGGAAUUCGUCGUGUAGCGGUGAAAUGCUUAGAUAUGACGAAGAACUCCGAUUGCGAAGGCAGCUUGCGGGAGCACAACUGACGCUGAAGCUCGAAAGUGCGGGUAUCGAACAGGAUUAGAUACCCUGGUAGUCCGCACGGUAAACGAUGGAUGCCCGUUGU